GUUGCUAGUCAACUUCCAAUAAAGACACUUCUAAUUGUCCGGAACCUUCAUUUUGGCGCUCACCCAGGAUUGAGUCAUUGAGCCAUAGUGUUCAGUUAAAUUUAGACGGAAAAAGUAAAAUAAUCCUAAAAAUGCACCCUCUGCUGCUAGCGCUGCGUUUGCUUUAGUUUAGAUAAUAAUUAAUUAUUAUGUAAGCUUUGUAUAAAUAAAUAAAAUCCUAAAUAUUUCGUGGUGUCCGUUGAGAAAAAUCGAAAUAAGUGUCGUGUGUGAGAAAAAUUUAUAAAUUUAGUAUCUAUUAAAAACGGCUAAAUGUUAAAAAAAAAAACUAAAGCAUAGCAUAAAAGGGGCCUUGAGACUGAAAAAUUAGGAAUGAAAGCAACCGAAAGGAUCUGUAAUAGUUCCUGAAAAUUACAUGAAAARUAUAGUGCAUGUGUAAAUCAUAGUGUGUGAAGCGUUAAAAGUGGAUACAUUUGGUGGAUUUGUACAUGCAAUCUACGUCAUCAAACGUUGUUGUAUGCAGAACAUUCCAGAGAAUCCAACAAUUUCGUAAAGUGACGGUUAAACACGAAGUUCAAAAUAAAAAAAAAACCGAACAGCGAAAAACCGAACAAUAAGCGAAGCGUUGGUGAAAGACGUUUGAAAAGCUAAAUCUAGCAAAGUGAGAGACAAAAAGAGAAAUAAUGAGCAGAACAGCUUAAAUGAAAUGAAGAUUUAAAUAUUUGAAACAAGUAGUGUAUGCCGCAUAGCAAUACACUACAAAAAGCGACAGUGAAUACGAAUAUGGGUUUGAAAACGAAAUAGAUGCAGUGUAAGCCGAACAGCGAUAUACUGUGAGGAUGAGUGAUGGAUGAGUGAUGAUAAUAUUGUAAAAUCAGCGAACAGACAGUGUCAAGCAAAUUAACUGCGCAGUAUACGUACGGUGACCAUACGUACUGUAUUAUACAGAACAGUGCUGUUUUUGGAAGCUUUGCUCUGUGUAAAUUAUUUUGUACGAUAAAAUGCGAAAAAGUACUCUUUUUUGAAAAAUUUACUGUUUUUGUACUGUAGUUUGUAAAUUUUCUUGCGCAUUUAAACCUGCUAACACUCUUAAGGUCGUUUUCUAAGCAAUAUUUUCGUUUUCUCAUCUCGCUUGUAAAAUAUAUUCAUUAUUUCGAAAUUAUGGGAAGGCCAAAAUUAGAAUGCACAACGUUGGAGUGGUGACUAUGGUUGGCAAUGCGAUGCAUGCUAAACGUAAACAAAAGCAGCUGUUUAUUGAAAACUUAUCAUGGAAAUCCCACAACUAAAAAGAAAUUAUCAAUGCUUAAUUUAAAGCUGGCUUCAAGCACAUGCAAUCUGCACAAUUUUUAUGUAGCUGGACUUCCAUUUCAGCUUAAUGGCGCCCAGGAGAAAGUGUGUUUUUAAUACAGAACUUCGAAAAGAAUUUAACAAGAGCCAGUGAAGUAAAAUGCGUUAAAUGCAUGGCAGUUUUUUCCAUUGCAAAUAACGGCAAACUGGAUAUCCUGCAACAUUUAAAGACAAUAUGCAAUAAACACGUGGUGAUAUUUGUGCAGCCAGUAGUAAAACCAUUUCUGCAUUUUACUUAUCUAAAUCGCUUGAUGAUUGCCGAAAACUGACAUACAUCACAGAAGAAACAUGGGCGUACCAUACGAUUCAACACAACUAUUCUCAAAUGAUUGCACAAAUAAACUUAUCAAAAGCUGUUUUGAUGAAAAAUAUUCAUGCGCAAGCACCAAGUGCGAAGGCAUUAUUUGCAAUGUGCUUUAAGGAAUUGGAGAAGGAUUUAGAAGGGGUACAUUUCAUUUCAAUAUAUUCUGACUGCUGAAACCAUGGAAGUACAAAAAUAUGUUCAAUUCUUGUUCGGUACUUCACUCAAUACAAGGGAAUUCAAGUAAAAAUUCUGGAAGUUGAUGAGAUUCCUGGCGAAACGUCUGACAUAUUGAGUGAAUAUAUUCUAAAGCUGUUAAACAAAUUUAAAUUGGAAAGAAAAUUGCUAGCUUUAUGUGCAGACAAUACGAACGCAAAUAUUGGUGGUGCAUCCAGGCGGGGUAAAAACAACCUUUUCACAAAACUUCAAUAGGCCACUGGUAAAACAUUAAUUGGAAUUAAUUGUGCUGCCCACAUUUUAAAUAAUUGCAUACAAUGUUCUGGGGAAUGUUCUGUCUUCCAAUUGACAUCGAAGUCACUGUUGUAAAGAUCUACUCUUUCUUUUAUAUUUACACAGUCCGCGUGGCAGAAUUUAAAGAUAUUUGUGAAAACUUAAACCUCGAAUAUUGUAAACUAAUGGGAUUUAGUAAAACUAGGUGGCUCACUUUGAAGCCAUCAAUAGAGAGGAUUCUGAAUCUUUUCGAUCCUCUCAAAAAAUAUUUUUUGUUACAACCAAAGUGUCCAACUGUCUUAAAACAAUUUUUUUUUUAAUCUUUGCGAGCAUGUCUCUUUCACAGCUAUAUUUUAAAAAUUGAAUCGCAAACAAUGUCAAUGAUAGAAAGAGCCUUCCUCAUAAAUGAACUAAAAAACAAAGUUAUUGCACGUAAAGAAGAAAACUUUGUACCAUUAGAAGUUAAAAUCUCUAUUACAGUCUUACAACUGAAAGGUUUAAUUGAUGUAAAUAAAUUCCAAACAUGCACAAAAGCUUUUAUAUCAAUUGUGCUGACUACCUAAGCCUGUGGGACAGUGCAUUCAUAGAAGUUCAGGUUUUAAAAUGGAUACUACUUCAGAGAGUACCGUCAUGGAAUGAAGUGGUGGCCAGUUUUUCAUAUAUUUUAGAAAAAAGAAAUGGUAUCAAUAUAAAAGAUAACAAAUUAUUUGAUGAAUUUUCUUGCGUUAAAAGUUAUGCAACACCUAGCAAGUUUAA